rnacentral:rRNA from 1 species
GAUGAACGCUGGCGGCGUGCCUAAUACAUGCAAGUCGAGCGAAGCGGGGACGGGUGAGUAACACGUGGAUAACCUCCUAUAAGACUGGGAUAACUUCGGGAAACCGGAGCUAAACCGGAUACUUAUCGAUGGAUCCGCGCUGCAUUAGCUAGUUGUGAAGGUAACGGCUGACCAAGGCCACGAUGAAUAGCCGACCUGAGAGUGCGAUCUGCCACACUGGAACUGAGACACGGUCUAUACUCCUACGGGAGGCAGCAGUAGUGAAUCGUCCGCAAUGGGCGAAAUCCUGACGGAGCAACGCCGCGUGAGUGAGGAAGGUCUUCGGAUCGUAAAACUCUGUUAUUAGGGAAGCGGUACCUAAUCAGAAAGCCACGGCUAACUACGUGCCAGCAGCCGCGGUAAUUC